CGUGUGUCGGCUGCCCAAGUGGCUGGUGUGCUCGAUCCACUCAUCCAAAAUACGUUGCGCGGCUGGCGUUGGCGGCUGCAGUUGGAGGUUGGUGCGGCGAGCGGCUUCCGUCUGGCCCUCGCCUGCUGAUCCGCUCCCUCCCUGGUCGGCUGUGUCACCACAUCUGGGAUUCUUCCGGAGUUGCAGCGCUUGGACGCUCCUGCUGUCUUGUCUGUCUUGCCGGUUUUGUUUGGGCCGCUCUCGGCGGAGCCUGCUGACGCUUGGGCUGGCGGAACGAGCGGGGCACGACUCCUCUGGCCCCGUGAAAAGACAUUAGAAGUCGGACAACGACAGUUUGUCCCAUCGUUUGCAGUG